GCAAUACUUAGUGGCAGACGGGUGAGUAACAUGUAGGUAUCUGCCCUUUGGCCUGGAAUAACACGAGGAAACUUGUGCUAAUACCGGAUAAGUCUUUACGGAGAAAGCUUUAUGCACCAUUGGAUGAGCCUGCACUUGAUUAGUUUGUUGGUGGGGUAAUGGCCUACCAAGACUGUGAUCAAUAGCUGAUUUGAGAGGAUGAUCAGCCAC
rnacentral:rRNA from 1 species